GCCGGCAGGUAGCUCUCUGCAACUCUCACAUGGUCGCCCACUGAAGCUAAGCAGGGCUGUGCCUGGUCAGUAUCUGUAUGGGAGACCACAUGGAAAAUCUAGGUUUCUGCUAGGU
ensembl:rRNA 5S_rRNA 5S ribosomal RNA